rnacentral:tRNA from 1 species
UCUUGGGUGUCUCAGUGGUAAAAAGAACCUGCCUCCCAAUGCAAAAGAUGCAGGAGACACAGGUUUGAUUCCUGGCUGGGGAA